UGUCGUGUUGUCGGUGUGUGGGUGAGGCCGGUAAUUAGCGCCGAAUUAUUGGUAAUUUGGUUCUGAUAGGUAAAAUUAGCAUUUUUUAAAUAAUUUAGAUCAUGUUUGUAAAUUUGAAUAGCCUCAACGUUCAUGUGCGUCGGUAUAAGUGUUGAAAUAUCGCGAUAGAAUUUAUGAUGAUUUUGUAGGCUUUCAUGGCGCAUGCUUUCCGCGGUAUAAUAUUUUAAUUAUUUACGAAAUGUAUUGCUAUUUAUAGGGUUAUAGUUUAUCUUAAAGUAAAUAAUAGGCCUAUUUUGUUGUUUGGGGCAAUUGUUGAUAAGAGAGGCACAUUUAACUGCCCACAGUAGCUAGAAAUGUUAUGGCCUGGCAGGUUGUGCAAAAGUUUGCAGUGUGGCCAUAUCAUUUAUUCAGUCAAUUGUCUGUGCAAGCAGGGACCAAUAGGAUAUAUCUUUUAGUUUUUAAUGAAAAGUUAAAUUUGGGCUUAUGCUAGGUUAUUCAUACUUGCAUUUUAAGUGGCUUUGUCAUGGAUUCAUAGAACAAUAAUAGAAAGUGGUGACUGCAAAUGUGUCUGUUUUUCCACAGCUCAUCAAAGCACCACCUCCUCGCUGUUGCAGUGGGCGUCACCACAGUAUUGUUCAGGAAGCUCGUGAUAAUGGUACCUAUGGUUCUACGUUGAGGAACGCUCAAUCAAAAAAUGAUAUGAUGAACUUCUUUGGAAUUAAGCGGACUAAGUACAGCUACAUUUGUAUUAUGUGCAUCGCUCAUGCAAGACAGCAGGCCAGGAUGCAGGGACACACAGUUGCAGGGGAUGAGCUGGAGAACCAGCAGCGCAUUCUCCAAGAGACGACGGAAGCCAACGGAGGCCCGCAAAACUUUCCAUCCCAUAAUCGUGAAUGGAGAGCUGGGCGGGGAAGACGCGGUAUUCGUCGAGGUCCAGGAGGUGGUAUCGGCGCCACCAGACCAAGCAUUCCUGCUGUGGCAGGCCGCCUUUUGGAUUUUUAACAUCAAAACUCCUAAAAACAUGGUCAAUCUGAAUUGGUUUCUGAGAACCAAAGUGUUUGAUGGGGUGAAGGCCGAUGUGCCGCCAUCAGCGGCGGCUAUUGCGACCGUGAAGCAAGUGGAGUGAGAUCCCCGUAGAGCAUGCCGCUGCGGGGUGUCGGAAGCGUUUGCCAAUUCUUUGAGCCUUCCACCGGCAGGACUAUAAAUACACAUUUCUUGAAAUAUA